UACGGAGGGAGCUAGCGUUGUUCGGAUAUACUGGGCGUAAAGCGCACGUAGGCGGCGCAGCAAGUCAGGGGUGAAAUCCCGGGGCUCAACCCCGGAACUGCCUUUGAAACUGCAGUGCUAGAAUCUUGGAGAGGUCAGUGGAAUUCCGAGUGUAGAGGUGAAAUUCGUAGAUAUUCGGAAGAACACCAGUGGCGAAGGCGACUGACUGGACAAGUAUUGACGCUGAGGUGCGAAAGCGUGGGGAGCAAACAGGAUUAGAAACCCCAGUAGUCC
rnacentral:rRNA from 1 species